AAAGAUUAAGCCAUGCAUGUCUAAGUACAAGCUCUCCGAGCGAAACUGCGGAUGGCUCAUUAAAUCAGUUAUGGUUCAUUGGAUCGAGUCCCCCGACAUGGAUAACUGUGGUAAUUCUAGAGCUAAUACAUGCGUCCAAGCGCCGACUCCCCAGAAGGCGUGCUUUUAUUAGGAACAAGACCAGCCCGGUUUCGGCCGGCACCACUGGUGAACUCUGGAUAACACAGCCGAUCGCACGGUCCUCGCACCGGCGACGGAUCCUUCGAAUGUCUGCCCUAUCAACUUUCGAUGGUACGUUAUGCGCCUACCAUGGUCGUCACGGGUAACGGAGAAUCAGGGUUCGAUUCCGGAGAGGGAGCCUGAGAAACGGCUACCACAUCCAAGGAAGGCAGCAGGCGCGCAAAUUACCCACUCCCGACACGGGGAGGUAGUGACGAAAAAUAACAAUACAGGACUCUUUCGAGGCCCUGUAAUUGGAAUGAGUACACUUUAAAUCCUUUAACGA
rnacentral:rRNA from 1 species